GGCUCCUUGGUCAAGCGGUUAAGACACCGUCCUUUCACGGCGGUAACACGGGUUCGAGUCCCGUAGGAGUCA
rnacentral:tRNA from 1 species